rnacentral:rRNA from 1 species
UAUCAAUAAGCGGAGGAAAAGAAACCAACAGGGAUUGCCUCAGUAACGGCGAGUGAAGCGGCAACAGCUCAAAUUUGAAAUCUGGCUCUCGGGCCCGAGUUGUAAUUUGUAGAGGAUGCUUUUGGUGCGGUGCCUUCCGAGUUCCCUGGAACGGGACGCCAUAGAGGGUGAGAGCCCCGUCUGGUUGGACGCCAAUCCUCUGUAAAGCUCCUUCGACGAGUCGAGUAGUUUGGGAAUGCUGCUCUAAAUGGGAGGUAUAUGUCUUCUAAAGCUAAAUACCGGCCAGAGACCGAUAGCGCACAAGUAGAGUGAUCGAAAGAUGAAAAGAACUUUGAAAAGAGAGUUAAAAAGUACGUGAAAUUGUUGAAAGGGAAGCGCUUGUGACCAGACUUGGGCUUGGUUGAUCAUCCAGGGUUCUCCCUGGUGCACUCUUCCGGCCCAGGCCAGCAUCAGUUCGCCCCGGGGGAAAAAGGCUUCGGGAAUGUGGCUCUCUCCGGGGAGUGUUAUAGCCCGCUGCGUAAUACCCUGUGGCGGACUGAGGUUCGCGCAUUCGCAAGGAUGCUGGCGUAAUGGUCAUCAGUGACCCGUCUUGAAACACGGACCAAGGAGUCGUCUUCGUAUGCGAGUGUUCGGGUGUCAAACCCCUACGCGAAAUGAAAGUGAACGCAGGUGAGAGCUUCGGCGCAUCAUCGACCGAUCCUGAUGUUUUCGGAUGGAUUUGAGUAAGAGCAUACGGGGCCGGACCCGAAAGAAGGUGAACUAUGCCUGUGUAGGGUGAAGCCAGAGGAAACUCUGGUGGAGGCUCGCAGCGGUUCUGACGUGCAAAUCGAUCGUCAAACAUGGGCAUGGGGGCGAAAGACUAAUCGAACCUUCUAGUAGCUGGUUUCC